rnacentral:lncRNA from 1 species
CAACGGAGCUCCAUCAUUGGACGAUUUCAGGGCUCUGUUGCCGGGCAGUUUACGGACGUUGCCCAACAGGGCUCCCUCAUUGGAUAAUUUCCAGGCUCCGCCCAACAAGACUCUUGUCAUUGGACGACUUCUGGGCUCUGUUGCCGGGCAGUUUACAGGCCAUUGCCCCAGAGGAUGCUGCCAUUGGACGAUUUCGAGGCUCUGUUGCCGGGCGCUUUUCGACUGCUGCUCAACGGAGCUCUGUGAUUGGACGAUUUCAGGGCUCUGUUGCCGGGCAGUUUACAGGCGAUUGCCCAACCUGGCUCUGUCAUUGGACCAUUUCAGGGCUCUGUUGCCGGGCAGUUUACGGGUAACCACCCUAUGAGACUCUGUCAUUGGAGGAUUUCCUGGCUCCGCCCAACGGCGCUCCCUGAUUGGAUGAUUCCCUGGGGCCACAAAGGGGCGGAGCUUGCAAAGGAUCAUAGAGAGGGAAGGGACCUCUCUAGGACAUCCAAGCGGUUCUGAGGGGAUCAUAGAGAGGGAAGGGACCCCUCCAGGUCAAGGAUCAUAGAGAGGGAAGGGACCUCUCUAGGACAUCCAAGUGGUUCUGAGGGAUCAUAGAGAGGGAAGGGACCCCUCCAGGUCAAGGAUCAUAGAGAGAGAAGGGACCUCUCUAGGACAUCCAAGUGGUUCUGAGGGGAUCAUAGAGAGGGAAGGGACCUCUCUAGGACAUCCAAGUGGUUCUGAGGGGAUCAUAGAGAGGGAAGGGACCCCUCCAGGUCCUCCAGCCUGACCCCCUUGCAAAGGAUCAUAGAGAGAGAGAGAGAGAAGGGACCUCUCUAGGACAUCCAAGUGGUUCUGAGGGGAUCAUAGAGAAGGAAGGGACCCCUCCAGGUCAAGGAUCAUGGAGAGAGAAGGGACCCCUCCAGGUCCUCCAGCCUGACCCCCCUUGCAAAGGACCAUAGAAGGGACCUCUCUAGGACAUCCAAGUGGUUCUGAGGGGAUCAUAGAGAGGGAAGGGACCCCUCCAGGUCAAGGAUCAUAGAGAGAGAAGGGACCCCUUCCAGGUCCUCCAGCCUGACCCCCUUGCAAAGGAUCAUAGAGAGGGAAGGGACCCCUCCAGGUCAAGGAUCAUAGAGAGAGAAGGGAUCUCUCUAGGACAUCCAGGCGGUUCUGAGGGGACCAUAGAGAGGGAAGGGACCCCUCCAGGUCCUCCAGCCUGACCCCCUUGCAAAGGAUCAUAGAGAGGGAAGGGACCCCUCCAGGUCAAGGAUCAUAGAGAGAGAAGGGACCUCUCUAGGACAUCCAGGCGGUUCUGAGGGGACCAUAGAGAGGGAAGGGACCCCUCCAGGUCAUCCAGCCAGACCACCUGGCAAGAGGUUAUGGGGGGACCAUAGAGACGGGAGGCCAGGAAUCCUAGAAGGCUUGAGCCAGAAGGGAAGCCCUGAGGGUGCUCCAGCCUGACCCCCUUGCAAAGGACCAUAGAGAGGGAAGGGACUUCUCUAGGACAUUCAGCACCUUAUGAGGGGAUCGUAGAGAGGGAAGGGACCUCUCUAGGACCUCCAGUGAUCAUAGGGAAGUGACCCCUCCAGGUCCUCCAGCCUGACCCCCUUGCAAAGGAUCAUAGAGAGAGAGAGACAAGGGACCUCUCUAGGACCUCCAGCCCAGUUAUCAGGGGAUCAUAGAGAGGGAAGGGACCUCUCUAGGACAUCCAGGCGGUUCUGAGGGGACCAUAGAGAGGGAAGGGACCCCUCCAGGUCAUCCAGCCAGACCACCUGGCAAGAGGUUAUGGGGGACCAUAGAGACGGGAGGCCAGGAAUCCUAGAAGGGUUGAGCCAGAAGGGAAGCCCUGAGGGUCCUCCAGCCUGACCCCCUUGCAAAGGACCAUAGAGAGGGAAGGGACAUCUCUAGGACAUCCAGCACCUCAUGAGGGGAUCAUAGAGAGGGAAGGGCCCUCUCUAGGACAUCCAGCCCGUUCUUAGGGGAUCAUAGAGAGGGAAGGGACCUCUCUAGGACAUCCAGCCCGUUCUUAGGGGAUCAUAGAGAGGGAAGGGACCUCUCUAGGACCUCCAGUGAUCAUAGGGAAGUGACCCCGCCAGGGACCUCCAGCCUGACCCCUUGCAAAGGAUCAUAGAGAGAGACCUCUCUAGGACCUCCAGCCCAGUUAUCAGGGGAUCAUAGAGAGGGAAGGGACCUCUCUAGGACCUCCAGUGAUCAUAGGGAAGUGACCCCUCCAGGUCCUCCAGCCUGACCCCCUUGCAAAGGAUCAUAGAGAGAGACAAGGGACCUCUCUGGGACCUCCAGCCCAGUUAUCAGGGGAUCACAGCGAGGGAAGGGACCUCUCUAGGACAUCCAGCACAUUAGGGGAUCAUAGAGAGGGAAGGGACCCCUCCCGGUCCUCCAGCCUGACCCUUCUAGGAUUCCUCAGCCCCCCCCCCCAAUUUCCCAUCAAGCUUUGCUUACCCUCCAAGCCCGGGUUCAACAUCUCCAGGCGGGGACAAUCUAGGAUUUGGACACCGAGUGGGACCCCCAAUGGUCAUCCAGACCGACCCGCCCCAUGGAAGCCCCUCUAGGACGCCAUCUUUGACCCAACUUGUUCCCGUUCUUGCGAAUGCCCUCAA